AAAAGAAUGGCUUGUCCUUCAUCGAGACUUCUGCCUUGGAUUCAACAAAUGUAGAAACUGCUUUUCAAACCAUCCUAACAGAAAUCUAUCGCAUUGUGUCUCAGAAGCAAAUGUCAGACAGACACGAGAAUGAAAUGUCUCCGAGCAACAACGUCGUGCCCAUCCACGUCUCUCCCACCACCGAAAAUAACCCAAAGAUGCAGUGCUGUCAA